rnacentral:snRNA from 1 species
GUGCUCGCUUCGGCAGCACAUAUACUAAAACUGGAACGAUUCAGAGAAGAUUAGCAUGGCCCCUGCACAAGGAUGACACACAAAUUCGUGAAGCGUUCCAUAUUUGA